rnacentral:rRNA from 1 species
UACGGAGGGAGCUAGCGUUGUUCGGAAUUACUGGGCGUAAAGCGCACGUAGGCGGCUUUGUAAGUUGGGGGUGAAAUCCCGGGGCUCAACCUCGGAAUUGCCUUCAAAACUGGAUAUCUUGAGUUCGGGAGAGGUGAGUGGAACUCCGAGUGUAGAGGUGAAAUUCGUAGAUAUUCGGAAGAACACCAGUGGCGAAGGCGACUCACUGGCCCGAUACUGACGCUGAGGCGCGAAAGCGUGGGGAGCAAACAGG